AUUGACCGCUAGCGGCAUGCUUUACACAUGCAAGUCGAACGAGUGGCAGACGGUUGAGUAAUAUAUCGGCACGUGCCCAGUAGCGGGGAAUAACUACUCGAACGAGUGGCUAAUACCGCAAACUCUUGGCGCGGCCGAUAUCGGCUUAGCUAGGUGGUGGGGUAAAGGCUCACCAAGGCAACGAUCCGUAGCUGGUAUGAGAGGACGACCAGCCAGACUGGGACUGAGACACGGCCCAGACUCCGACGGGAGGCAGCAGUGGGGAAUUUUGGACAAUGGGGGAAACCCUGAUCCAGCCAUCCCGCGUGUAUGAGAAGGCCUUCGGGUUGUAAAGUACUUUUGGCAGAGAAGCGGUAUCUGCAGAAUAAGCACCGGCUAACUACGUGCCAGCAGCCGCGGUAAUUC
rnacentral:rRNA from 1 species